UACGUAGGGUGCAAGCGUUGUCUGGAAUUAUUGGGCGUAAAGAGCUCGUAGGCGGUUUGUCGCGUCGGCUGUGAAAACCUGGGGCUUAACUCCGGGCCUGCAGCCGAUACGGGCAGACUAGAGUUCGGCAGGGGAGACUGGAAUUCCUGGUGUAGCGGUGAAAUGCGCAGAUAUCAGGAGGAACACCGGUGGCGAAGGCGGGUCUCUGGGCCGAUACUGACGCUGAGGAGCGAAAGCGUGGGGAGCAAACAGG
rnacentral:rRNA from 1 species